rnacentral:rRNA from 1 species
CCUACGGGAGGCAGCAGUGGGGGAUAUUGCACAAUGGGGGAAACCCUGAUGCAGCGACCCCGCGUGUGGGAAGACGGUCCUCUGGAUUGUAAACCACUGUCCCCAGGGACGAAAAUGACGGUACCUGGGGAGGAAGCUCCGGCUAACUACGUGCCAGCAGCCGCGGUAAUACGGAGGGAGCGAGCGUUGUCCGGAAUUACUGGGUGUAAAGGGAGCGUAGGCGGGGAUGCAAGUUGGGUGUAAAAACUACCGGCUCAACUGGUAGUCGAACUCAAAACUGCAGCGCUUGAGUGAAGUAGAGGCAGGCGGAAUUCCUAGUGGAGCGGUGAAAUGCGUAGAUAUUAGGAGGAACACCAGUGGCGAAGGCGGCCUGCUGGGCUUUUACUGACGCUGAGGCUCGAAAGUGUGGGGAGCAAACAGGAUUAGAUACCCCAGGAGUC